rnacentral:rRNA from 1 species
UACGUAGGUGGCAAGCGUUGUUCGGAAUUAUUGGGCGUAAAGGGCGCGUAGGCGGUCUGUUAAGUCGGUCGUGAAAGCCCGGGGCUCAACCCCGGAGGGUCGACCGAUACUGGCAGACUAGAGUACAGAAGAGGUAACUGGAAUUCCCGGUGUAGCGGUGAAAUGCGUAGAUAUCUGGAGGAACACCGGUGGCGAAGGCGGCAUCCUGGACCGACACUGACGCUGAGGAGCGAAAGCCAGGGGAGCAAACGGG